CACGUAGGCACCAAGCGUUGUCCGGAUUUAUUGGGCGUAAAGAGCUCGUAGGCGGUUCAGUAAGUCGGGUGUGAAAACUCUGGGCUCAACCCAGAGACGCCACCCGAUACUGCUGUGACUUGAGUACGGUAGGGGAGUGGGGAAUUCCUGGUGUAGCGGUGAAAUGCGCAGAUAUCAGGAGGAACACCAGUGGCGAAGGCGCCACUCUGGGCCGUAACUGACGCUGAGGCACGAAGGCCAGGGGAGCAAACGGG
rnacentral:rRNA from 1 species